GAUGAACGCUGGCGGCGUGCCUAAUACAUGCAAGUCGAGCGAACAGACGAGGAGCUUGCUCCUCUGACGUUAGCGGCGGACGGGUGAGUAACACGUGGAUAACCUACCUAUAAGACUGGGAUAACUUCGGGACACCGGAGCUAAUACCGGAUAAUAUAUUGAACCGCAUGGUUCAAUAGUGAAAGACGGUUUUGCUGUCACUUAUAGAUGGAUCCGCGCCGCAUUAGCUAGUUGGUAAGGUAACGGCUUACCACGGCAACGAUGCGUAGACGACCUGAGAGGGUGAUCGGCCACACUGGAACUGAGACACGGUCCAGACUCCUGCGGGAGGCAGCAGUAUGGAAUCUUCCGCAAUGGGCGGAAGCCUGACGGAGCAACGCCGCGUGAGUGAUGAAGGUCUUCGGAUCGUAAAACUCUGUUAUUAGGGAAGAACAAAUGUGUAAGUAACUAUGCACGUCUUGACGGUACCUAAUCAGAAAGCCACGGCUAACUACGUG
rnacentral:rRNA from 1 species